GCCCUUAUCAGUUGUAUAAACGACCUAGCUCCUUUACCCGCAGUAUCCGCACCCUUAUCUCUACCAGACGCCCUCACCCUAAAGAAUACAUCCAGUCUUCCCGCCUGGAUCAGUGUGCUCUUCAAGCCACCUCUGCUGAGCAAUAUGUCACUCUGGAGAUUCCCUCCGAGUUGCUCUCCAACUGGAAACGAGAAGGUUAUACUCAUCUCCACCUUGGCGGCAUCAGAUUAAUCCUUACCCUUCAUGGGAGAAAAGGAUUACCGGUUACCGCUCGACUUGCUAUGCUUGAUACCCGGUUUAAACAGUACCAAGAUGCUGUUAUCGGUACUGUUCUCACAACCCUUCAUGCAGGAAGUGUUUUACUCACUUUCUAUCCCAAUUUCAAUCUUUCUCUCCAAGACCCCAAUUUGCCCACAACCUUGAAAGUCCAAGUUCAGAUUCAAGGUGCUGAACAAAUUUCUUCUGCAAAAAUUGCCACUUUACAUCACCAACUGGUCUACAGGCUUCAAAAUCAUGCCUUAGAUCUACCCGCUCCAGAACACCACUCUGACACCCUCAUGGUGUUAGCAGAAUCUGACCAGAUCCCGACAAUCAUCCAGAUUCCCCGACAAAUUCCCCGUCAUGAGCUCAUCAAGCUUAUGCCUCUUGAAUGGAUCUCCAACUAUGAACAGUUCCACAACAAUACAGCUCCAAUUCAGACCUCUGACGGCAUGUUUGAAAGACGACAUGAUGGAACAGUCAGAAUGACUUUUAAACCACCCCCCAGUGCUCCACAAGAGCCUCCUAGGCUCUCCUUUACCUAUUCUUCAAUGAUCACAGCUGUUCAGACAGCGCAGGAAGAUCUGCCCAUUACAGGGUUUAAUUCUCAAGGCUACCCUGUUUAUCCAGCCAAACACAAUGGCCAUUUCCUAUGGGAUGCCCCUGGUUCCGGCAUGUGUGACCCAAAUUGUCCCUGCUGGGAUGAUUGGGAAGAAGACGAUGAUUACGCAACCACAAGGAAAAAGAAACCCAAAAAGAAAAAACCUCCUGUUCCAUGUCACCACUGUGACCCUAAACCACCAUCAGAUCCUCCACCUCCACCGGCUCCAUUACCCAUCUACCGAAAAGAACUCACAUGGAUUGCCAAACAUUGCAAAUCUGAGAUUCCAUCACCACUCUCACACCCAACACCUAUCGUCCAACCACUGGCUUGUAUGAUGUUUUCCUCUACUUCUUCAGAUUACUCUUCCUUUCCUCCUUUGGAACCCCAUACAGAUUCUCAACGAAAUGUUGUGUCCAAACCCUUUAUCCCUUCCCCUAUUACCUCCACUGGCCACCUAGAACCUCCCAAACCUUUUGAAUCAGUCCUCAACUGGCAAACCCAAAAUGCUAGAGCACAGAAUGAUACUUUGGUCAAUAUCAAUUCCAAAGUUGAGAAAAUCAGUUUACGAACUGACCAGCUUGAGACAAAGGUUGACUCCAUCUCUGCACAGAUGCAGCAGAUCCACCAAAAUCUCCAGUCCAGAAUUGGCCAACUCGAUUCAGAGUUACGAGCCAUGCUAGCCCACAGAUACAAUGGUCCCGAAUUUGACCAAAAGGAAAGGGAAAUCAGGCGAUUAAAAGCUGAACUUGCUCAGAUUGAAUCUGAAAAACAGAGACCUACCCUUUUCACCAGUUCACCUCUUAUUCCUUCUAUCGGUCCAACUUACCAUCCUUUUGCCUCUAUGCUCUCUCCUAUUAAACAAUAUGACCCUUCCAAGUUAUUUGGCAUGACUCAUACUCUUUUCAGAGACAAUCCUUUGCCACCGCCACCUAAACCUAAACCCAAACCUAGACCGCAGCCUCGACCUCCCCCUCUUCAUCCUUCCUCUCUGACCAUCCCUGGCCAACCAUCUCCUACUUUUACACCGACCUCACCACCAGCUCCUUUAUCAGUCCCUGCCCAAUCAAAAGAUAAAGAACCCAUGAACCAAUUUACUGCUCACGCAGUCAUCCAUUCAUCUACUGACGAUCAAACUUCUGCUUCAAAUCUAGCUGUUUCAGAUAGCCAUACCGAAACCGACUCAGAAUCUUCAGCAUCCACCAGUGACUCUGAAAAGUCCUAUGCUGAUAUUACCAAAAUCCUGAUGGCUCAACCUGAUCAAGGCCAAACCUCUCAUACAGAACCAUAUGUUGAUAUUCCCUCCGAAGUUGAAGACGAAAUGCCUGAAUCUUCUGCCACAAACCAACCUUCUCCAGCCCAGCCCAAUCCACCCAGUCAAAAAUCGUCAAAUGGUCCAUGGUUCACAUUUGAUGAUCUUCCAUCUCAUAAAUGGCGUGACCGACUCAAUGAAAUGUCUGCCUGGAUUGACCUGCAGAUGCUAAGAACAGGAGCAACAACUCAAUCAGUCCUUAGAGAAUUUGCUACUCGUUUUACGGGUGCUCUAAGAGAUUGGUUUGAUUCGUUAGGACAAUAUCGCCAGUUACAGUUUGUUGACCUUCCAGAAGUUUCAAGUGCUCUUGCUGUACUUCAUGAUCAAUUCCUUGGCGACCCUUCUGCAGUCUUUGAAGCUGCCAGACGAGACUACCUCAACAUGAAAUGCUGCUCCCUCAAUGCUAAGGAUCUUGACUUCCAUUAUAAGCGAAUGUCCCUGCUGUUCUAUAAGCUUAAUGGAUUCAAUGAGCCGACAUUAAAGCAUGUCUUUCUGGCUUCCCUCCCCGAAGAACUCCAACCUGACAUCCAGAGACAACUUACAGCAUCCAAUCUUUCCCUAGACAACAUCUCCCUUGGCAAAAUCUUCCAGCUUGCCAAAACCUGUCUUGACAAACUUUGCGAGCAAAAACAGUUUUUCAAAGAACUGUUGAAAGACAAAGAACCUUUCCGCAGUGCUUGCAAAAAGCCUUAUUUACAGAUCAAAUGCCACAAGAAAAAGGAUUGCGAUUGCAGUUCAAAGAAAAAACGGCAUUUUCGGAAAUUCAAAACUCCAGAAUUUUCAUCCAAACCUCGCAGAUCCCGAAAGCCCUACCGGUUCUUCCGAAAGAAAUCUUCCUCCUCCAGAGAAUUCAAACGAAAGCAAUCAAGCAGAUGUUUCAUCUGCAAGAGAAAAGGCCACUAUGCCAAAGAUUGUCCCAACAAAAGAGAAAAGGCCAUCCGGUUGGUUGAACAUCUUCAAGCAACCACAGACUACUCUCCUGCCAAAGAUGAAUUGGAAUUCUAUUUCUCUGAACAAGAUGAACCCAACGAUGAAACAGUGUUCGCACUACAAAAUUCCUCUGACUCAGAUAGUGACCAGUCUCAAGUGAUUUUCCACCAACAGUUACUCUCCCUUGAUACUACAGUUCCUAUCCCAUCCAUCAAACUCCAGAUCUUGCCCUCAAAAUUCCAAAGGCCCAUUCCAGCAAUUGGUCUUAUAGAUACUGGUGCCCAACGAAGCAUGUUGAACCCCCAUAUUCUUCCACCAGAAUAUUGGACCCAGUCUGAAGAACAUUUCAAAGCUGUCAAUGGCAAACUCUUCACCACCUCUUUGAUUACCAAAAAAUCCAUUGGUAUUCAAAUCUUCCCAAAUUGUGUCAUUUGGACCAAGGUUAUUGGUUCCACUCUUCCUAAUAAGGAUAUCUUAUUAGGAUUUGACAUCCUUCACCAAAUCAAACACCUCCAAAUCAUUCCCACUGGAAUCCGAGUCAAGUCCAUGUUCAAACCAUUCACAAACAUUCUGAAACUCUACAAUUUGUCUGAAACUCCCCAGUCUUACCAGGAUAUUUCAACCAAACUUUUGAGUUUCUGUCCAGAGUCCCAUUCUGAGUUCACCCAUCCAAAUCCAUUGUGGAAAAAUAAGUCUUUCUUCAUUAAGUUACCCUUCAAACUCAAUGAAGACAUUAACCCAACUAAAGCUACCCAUCCAGGAAUGAGUCCUUCUGACUUACUCCUAGCCCAACAAGAAUGUUCACAAUUGUUGGCCCAAGGUUUAAUUGAGCCCACAAGUUCCCAAUGGGCUUGCCAAGCCUUUUAUGUUGAAAAGCAUUCUGAAAUUGUCCGAGGAAAGAAACGCCUAGUCAUUGACUACCAGCCAUUAAACAUGUUUUUACAAGAUGACAAAUUCCCUUUACCUCGCCGACAAAGCAUGUUCACUUUUCUUAAAAAUGCCCAGAUCUUUUCAAAAUUUGAUUUAAAAUCUGGUUUUUGGCAACUCGGCAUUGAACCCUCCGAACGUUACAAAACCGCUUUUUGUAUUCCCAAUGCCCAUUUCCAAUGGACCGUCCUACCCUUUGGCCUCAAAACUGCCCCCUCCAUUUUCCAAAAAUCCAUGGUCCAAAUCUUCCAGCCCAUUUUGCAUCAUGCAUUGAUUUACAUUGACGAUAUUUUGCUUUUUUCAGGAUCGCAUGAAGAACAUCGCAACCUAUUGUCCCAAUUCUAUGAUAUUAUCCAAAGUCAUGGAAUCAUGUUAUCAGCCAAGAAAAGCACCAUUGCUACAGAUAAUAUUGAAUUCCUUGGUAUGAUCAUUAAAGAUGGACACUACCAGCCAGGAAAGCACAUUGCCCAAGAAUUGCUUCACUUUCCAGAUCAGCAACUUUCCAAAAGGCAAAUCCAACAGUUUCUCGGCAUUAUCAAUUACAUCCGUGAUUUCCUCCCACAUGUGGACCAUCACACUCAUCAUCUCUCAGCUUUAUUGAAAAAGCAGCCCCCAGAAUGGAAUGCUGACCACACACGUGCUGUCACUACUCUCAAGCAGAUUGCGCAAAAUCCGCCUCCUUUAAAGUUGCUUACUGAUGGCAAGCGCAUAUUACAGACAGACGCAAGUGAUGAAUCAUGGGGUGCCAUCCUCCUCGAAGAACUCAAUGACAAGGAACACUUUAUCGCUUACGCUAGUGGACAUUUUUCUGAAACACAGAAGCACUACCAUAGCGUGUUUAAAGAAAUCUUAGCGGUAAAGAAUGGCAUCAAAAAGUUUGAGUAUCAUCUGAUUGGACACCAUUUUCUCAUCCGAAUGGACAGCUCAGCCUUCCCCAAUAUCUUUCAUUUCAAAGGUAAAACUGUUCCCGAAAAAAUGUUACUCAGAUUAAAAGAUUGGUUUUCCAAAUAUGACUUUUCAGUCAAGCAUAUAAAGGGAUCCCAGAACCUCAUCCCUGAUAUGCUCUCCAGACUCUCUAAACCACAAGGCCCUCUCACCCUGUUUUCCACCACCUACCAUUUUCCAAUUAUCUCCAUGGCUACCUCACUACCCCCAGAAGCUCUCACCAAGAAAACUUUUCCCUUCAACAAAACCUUCUCUUCUGUUUUUAUCCAAGAAUUUGCAAGAAAAGCUCUCUUUCGCUUUUUCAUGAAAGCCUACCUUGUCACCGACCCUUUUCCUUUUUCCACUUUCCACCCAGAAAAUCUGUUCCUUACAGGUUUAACCCUUGAUCCGACCAGAGACACCACUGAAGACGUGUUAUGGUACAUCUGGUGCCUAACAGUCCUUUACGCAACCAAGUUAGUCCUCCCCAUUUCUCCCACUCUGGACCACCUCCUUAAUCCAGAUAACGCCACCUCCCUUACCUGGACCCUACUUGAAUGGUUCUCCCCCAUCCCAUGGUGGAGAAUGAAACUGCAACAACUGUCCGAAAUUUACAACCUUGACCGUAUGCCUGCCCCUGAAGCACAAAUGUUCACAUCAGUUUUUAUUAUUCACAGGCCAUACUUCCAACAUCCAGACACCCAUCUCUUUUGGACUCAAGAUCAGGUAUAUGAAUGGUUCACUGCACCACAUAUAGCUGUGAUUGAAAAUGACAUACAAGACGUCCUGCACAAUUACCUUUGCCAAUUAAACCACCAACCUCCGCCACUUAAAGAUAUCUCUCACACCUCCUUAGGUCCACAACAUGACCUUCUCAUGAUACCCACUCCAUCUGCCAUAUCUAAACCUAAGUCCACUGGCAUCAUCAUCAAAGAAGAACGACCAGACUACACUGACUUCCUUUAUCAAGACUCACAAGAUCCAUGGGAAGAUUUUCUUCCUCUAAGCCAACACCUCCACCAGUUUCCCCAACCAACAAUGGAUGAACCUGGCCCCUCCGUACUCCGUACCAGGACCCUCAACCCAAUCUUCCAAACAACCAUCCAAAGUUGACAAAGCCACCCAAACUUCCCCUAAGUAUACUCCGAAGUGUACUCCCAGAGACUAUAAUUGCCCUUAUCCACCAUGCCGUGGUCCCUCCUGUAAGCAUCCAAAGCUCUCCAAAACUUUCUUCCAAAAGCAUCCUCACUCUGGUGAUACGGACCCAGAUGAGACCGAAAGCUCAUCCGAAGACGAGUACAUGAAUCUCCGCUCUCCAUAAAGUUGUUUGUCUUGUUGCUUUCAAUAAAGUAGUUUGUCUUGUUGUCAUAAUGAUGUUUCGCUAUUAAAGUUUGUUUUUACUUUAAUACUUUUGUCCAAGUCAUGCUUUAAUUAUUAAAGCACUAAUUAUUAAAGCACUUUUGUCUUUUGUAAUAAUUAAAGUCGUGCAAUUAUGUAAAAGAUAGGGGUCCUGUCCUAUCUUCUCACGAAUCCUCCUCUAUAUAAAGGAUUCUCCCCUUGCUUGUAAGAUAUAGAAGUUUAAGGAUUCUCCCCUUGCUUGUAAGAUAUAGAAGUUUGAAAGAAAUAAACUCGUGUUUUUCUCUUACACCCUAAGAAAGAAACAGAAUAAAGAAUUAAAUUUGUUCAUUUUGAAAACCUAAGGAAGUAUGCUCUGCACUUGCCUUUUCAAAUGUUUUAAAGGUUUUUGAUUACAGAGGUAUAUCGGCUGGAAACCCGAGCUUGCGGACUACUGGAAAGAAGUCUGUUUUGGGUUGUAUAACCCGAGAAAAAUGUUUUAAAAGUUUUGCGAAAGUAUAUCGGCUGGAAACCCGAGCUUGCGGACUACUGGUCCAAAGAACAGUUUUAACUGUUGUAGUUCUGGUAUAACAACGCCACGUACUUCACCAUAACUGGUAUCAGAGCCAUACCCAUCCUUGAAAAUUUCAUGUUUUCUAAAUUCACGAUUUCUUGCCCAAAAUGGUAUAAUUUAAGGCUUUUUCUAUUUUGAUCUCUAGAACUUCAGGCGCAGAGAGAACUUCUCCUUCAUGGCAUCCACUUCCUCUUCACCUCCUGUUACUCUUUCUUCCACCCUUUCUUUACCGAAAUCUUGCACUUCUCAUACUACUAAUAAAAUUGAAAAUCUUGUAGAAUACUCCUACAUCCCUGAAUCCGCCCAAAUCAGUGAAUCUUCUUACCCUCUCCUCAGCCCUUAUCAGUUGUAUAAACGACCUAGCUCCUUUACCCGCAGUAUCCGCACCCUUAUCUCUACCAGACGCCCUCACCCUAAAGAAUACAUCCAGUCUUCCCGCCUGGAUCAGUGUGCUCUUCAAGCCACCUCUGCUGAGCAAUAUGUCACUCUGGAGAUUCCCUCCGAGUUGCUCUCCAACUGGAAACGAGAAGGUUAUACUCAUCUCCACCUUGGCGGCAUCAGAUUAAUCCUUACCCUUCAUGGGAGAAAAGGAUUACCGGUUACCGCUCGACUUGCUAUGCUUGAUACCCGGUUUAAACAGUACCAAGAUGCUGUUAUCGGUACUGUCCUCACAACCCUUCAUGCAGGAAGUGUUUUACUCACUUUCUAUCCCAAUUUCAAUCUUUCUCUCCAAGACCCCAAUUUGCCCACAACCUUGAAAGUCCAAGUUCAGAUUCAAGGUGCUGAACAAAUUUCUUCUGCAAAAAUUGCCACUUUACAUCACCAACUGGUCUACAGGCUUCAAAAUCAUGCCUUAGAUCUACCCGCUCCAGAACACCACUCUGACACCCUCAUGGUGUUAGCAGAAUCUGACCAGAUCCCGACAAUCAUCCAGAUUCCCCGACAAAUUCCCCGUCAUGAGCUCAUCAAGCUUAUGCCUCUUGAAUGGAUCUCCAACUAUGAACAGUUCCACAACAAUACAGCUCCAAUUCAGACCUCUGACGGCAUGUUUGAAAGACGACAUGAUGGAACAGUCAGAAUGACUUUUAAACCACCCCCCAGUGCUCCACAAGAGCCUCCUAGGCUCUCCUUUACCUAUUCUUCAAUGAUCACAGCUGUUCAGACAGCGCAGGAAGAUCUGCCCAUUACAGGGUUUAAUUCUCAAGGCUACCCUGUUUAUCCAGCCAAACACAAUGGCCAUUUCCUAUGGGAUGCCCCUGGUUCCGGCAUGUGUGACCCAAAUUGUCCCUGCUGGGAUGAUUGGGAAGAAGACGAUGAUUACGCAACCACAAGGAAAAAGAAACCCAAAAAGAAAAAACCUCCUGUUCCAUGUCACCACUGUGACCCUAAACCACCAUCAGAUCCUCCACCUCCACCGGCUCCAUUACCCAUCUACCGAAAAGAACUCACAUGGAUUGCCAAACAUUGCAAAUCUGCGAUUCCAUCACCACUCUCACACCCAACACCUACCGUCCAACCACUGGCUUGUAUGAUGUUUUCCUCUACUUCUUCAGAUUACUCUUCCUUUCCUCCUUUGGAACCCCAUACAGAUUCUCAACGAAAUGUUGUGUCCAAACCCUUUAUCCCUUCCCCUAUUACCUCCACUGGCCACCUAGAACCUCCCAAACCUUUUGAAUCAGUCCUCAACUGGCAAACCCAAAAUGCUAGAGCACAGAAUGAUACUUUGGUCAAUAUCAAUUCCAAAGUUGAGAAAAUCAGUUUACGAACUGACCAGCUUGAGACAAAGGUUGACUCCAUCUCUGCACAGAUGCAGCAGAUCCACCAAAAUCUCCAAUCCAGAAUUGGCCAACUCGAUUCAGAGUUACGAGCCAUGCUAGCCCACAGAUACAAUGGUCCCGAAUUUGACCAAAAGGAAAGGGAAAUCAGGCGAUUAAAAGCUGAACUUGCUCAGAUUGAAUCUGAAAAACAGAGACCUACCCUUUUCACCAGUUCACCUCUUAUUCCUUCUAUCGGUCCAACUUACCAUCCUUUUGCCUCUAUACUCUCUCCUAUUAAACAAUAUGACCCUUCCAAGUUAUUUGGCAUGACUCAUACUCUUUUCAGAGACAAUCCUUUGCCACCGCCACCUAAACCUAAACCCAAACCUAGACCGCAGCCUCGACCUCCCCCUCUUCAUCCUUCCUCUCUGACCACCCCUGGCCAACCAUCUCCUACUUUUACACCGACCUCACCACCAGCUCCUUUAUCAGUCCCUGCCCAAUCAAAAGAUAAAGAACCCAUGAACCAAUUUACUGCUCACGCAGUCAUCCAUUCAUCUACUGACGAUCAAACUUCUGCUUCAAAUCUAGCUGUUUCAGAUAGCCAUACCGAAACCGACUCAGAAUCUUCAGCAUCCACCAGUGACUCUGAAAAGUCCUAUGCUGAUAUUACCAAAAUCCUGAUGGCUCAACCUGAUCAAGGCCAAACCUCUCAUACAGAACCAUAUGUUGAUAUUCCCUCCGAAGUUGAAGACGAAAUGCCUGAAUCUUCUGCCACAAACCAACCUUCUCCAGCCCAGCCCAAUCCACCCAGUCAAAAAUCGUCAAAUGGUCCAUGGUUCACAUUUGAUGAUCUUCCAUCUCAUAAAUGGCGUGACCGACUCAAUGAAAUGUCUGCCUGGAUUGACCUGCAGAUGCUAAGAACAGGAGCAACAACUCAAUCAGUCCUUAGAGAAUUUGCUACUCGUUUUACGGGUGCUCUAAGAGAUUGGUUUGAUUCGUUAGGACAAUAUCGCCAGUUACAGUUUGUUGACCUUCCAGAAG
rnacentral:lncRNA from 1 species